ACCACAUGGACCAUCCCUUGCUUCAAUCAUAGAAUUCUUUCUUCAGAUCAAAGUAUAUUCAGACACUCGAUACAGUAACAAAAGCAAGCUAUCCUGGAAGGAAGAAGGAAUCAGGAGGCAGAGCACAUGGUUAAAGCAUGAGAUGUGAAACCAGGAAGAACCAGGUCUGAACCUUAGCUCCACCAGUGGUAGCUUCAAACCUUGGUCCUUUCUGAGCCUGCUUCUUCAACCGUAAGGAACUCGGAAACGGGACCCAGAAAGUUGUUUUCUCAAGUGGAUGGAACAACACAAGCAAUCAGUAUCCUGAAACAGGCCCUGUUCCAACAAACUGACCCAGAAAGCAAGUAUGAGGACUCCUGUUUCCCUACGUACUCACUACUACAGCAAAGAUAUCAAACAUUGAUACCCACCAAUCUCUGGAUGGAAAAACAAAUCUCAGGGAAAAGCACUUGGGACCCGCCAAACGGAGGAUGCAAAAAGGGGUGUCUAACACUGUACCCCUCCCUCCCGCUUACCCAGCAAUGGGGGAGAAAAAGUCGCUGGGCAUGGCAUACCACCGUUCACCAACGCCGUGGGCAGCAGGAACAAAUAAGAGCUGUAGUGCUUCUUGAGAGCCCAGACCUCGAGACUCUCCAAAACAGGGUUGUAAUAUGCCCCUGCUCACCAAGCCCUUGGCAGUGGGAACUGAGCUGUGACAUCCUUGGGGCUCUGCAGUUCCUGGCAUCUCCGAGUUUUCAGGCACCACCACAU
rnacentral:lncRNA from 1 species